CAUGCUCACACACAAACCUGUUUUCAGUGGGUGUCCAAAAGGGGGAGCGCUAUAUUCCUCUCUUCAUCAUACUUAUUGCUUAAGAUUUUUGUGCAUCUUGAUGCUCUAGUAGUUAUGGAGCCCACUUGUAACAGGAUGGCACCUUUCCAGUGUUUGCAUUAGUGCUUGGUGGAGCAGUUUCACGGUUGCCUAGAUUGAACAGUUUGUCAGUUUAAAAUGGCUUGUCAUGUUGACUUUUGCAUUUCAUGUACUGUAUAUUGUUGCCAAGUGCUGGGUUUGAGUGACACUGUGUUUGCCAUAAAUCAGGCCACAAAAACCAUUCAUUUCCUACAAUGAUAUAGUUUUAAAGCAUCGGGCAAUGCUGAUGCCAUUUUUUUGGCAAUACAGUACAUCACAGUAUGUGGUGGGAGAGGUAAGGCACCACAGCAAGAACAGCCAUCUGAGGUUGUAUGCUUUUAACUGAUUGACGUCAGAGUCAACAUAAAAUCUAUUUGUUCUAAAUUGACAAUCUGGAAUAUGUGAACCCUACUGGCCUUCUAAAGUAAAAUCAUUAUUGGCCAAGAACAGAUCUCAAAUGUUUCAUUGAGGUUAAGAAUACUUUGAUAAGAAUUCAAUAAUCAGGUUAAGGUUAAGAGGAGAAAAUAUUGGGGUUUCUGGAAGUUUAGAUGUUGUAGUUGAGACUGAAAUAUUUUCACUGCUGGGAUACUUGACGGUUGAUGUCAGUACAACUUCUGAAUCCAGUCUCUGUUGUUACCCGGACUAAUAACCCAACAGAACCUUUUGAAUUAAGGUCUGACUUUUGAAAAUAGUACACAAUAGUUGUUUUUAGCUGAAUAAGAAUUAAAUUUCUGUUGGAGUUAAUUGUUUAACAAUAACUUGCUAGAAUAAGAAACCCAAGAGUUUGUCUCCUUUAUCACUGUAUAUUUUUAAAGUACACUGCAUUCUGACUGUUGCGUGCCUUCAAGUCCUUUCCAACUUAGAGUGACCCUUUCACAUUUUAGCAAGAUUUGUCCAGGGGGUAUUUGCCUUGCUUUCUUCUCAUGCUGAGAGAGUGCAUUUUGCCUAAGGUCACCCGGUGGGCUUCCACGGCUGAGUAGGGAUUAAAAACUGGUUUCCAGAGUUGUAGUCCAGUGUUAAUAAUAAUAAUAAUAAUAAUAAUAAUAAUAAUAAUAAUAAUAAUAAUAUGAAUGUCUGUACACUGAUAUCUUAAAUAUGUCAAAAAG